UGCUGCAUAAGCUGCACCAGAGAAAAAGCUCGACUUUCUUUUUCUUUCAGGGGAGCUGUAUAUGCAUCAUUGCCGAUUAUUGCGAAGAUGAAAAUAUGGCGGAGGUCAUGAGGAAGUCUAGAGGAGAACUUUUCCCAGAAGAGAAACUCUGCAAAUGGCUGACUCAUCUAUUGUUAGCUUUGGAGCAUCUGCAUUCCAACCGCGUUCAUCAUAGAGACAUCAAGGUA